rnacentral:rRNA from 1 species
CAUACGGGUGGCAGCAGUGGGGAAUAUUGGACAAUGGGCGCAAGCCUGAUCCAGCCAUACCGCGUGGGUGAAGAAGGCCUUCGGGUUGUAAAGCCCUUUUGUUGGGAAAGAAAAGCAGCCGGUUAAUACCCGGUUGUUCUGACGGUACCCAAAGAAUAAGCACCGGCUAACUUCGUGCCAGCAGCCGCGGUAAUACGAAGGGUGCAAGCGUUACUCGGAAUUACUGGGCGUAAAGCGUGCGUAGGUGGUUGUUUAAGUCUGUCGUGAAAGCCCUGGGCUCGACCUGGGAAUUGCGAUGGAAACUGGGCGACUAGAGUGUGGCAGAGGAUAGUGGAAUUCCUGGUGUAGCAGUGAAACGCGUAGAGAUCAGGAGGAACAUCCGUGGCGAGAGGCGACUGUCUGGGCCAACACUGACACUGAGGCACGAAAGCGUGGGGAGCAAACAGGAUUAGAUACCCCGGUAGUC